UGGUUUCUUAUGGUUGCAGUC
rnacentral:siRNA from 1 species